CUUGGCGACCAUAGCGUUGUGGACCCACCUGAUUCCAUGCCGAACUCAGAAGUGAAACGCAAUAGCGUCGAUGGUAGUGUGGGGCUUCCCCAUGUGAGAGUAGAACAUCGCCAGGC
rnacentral:rRNA from 4 species